CCCAUGCAAGCCAAGCCCAUCAGAGUCACAUAAGAACUAUUGUUAGCCGGCCCAAUGAAACCCGGCCCCCAACGCGAACUAGUUGACAAUGACAUGCACACGCAUUUUUCUUCCAAGAGUGGUCGCCUCUGCUACAGUUCGCCUUCUGAUGGAGUACAUUUUUUUUUCUGUUUUUUCCUACUUUCUGCCCGGCUGGCUAUCGGUGAUGAACUGGUAGUACGUAUACUGCGCCGGCGCUGGAAAAAGAGAUGCAGCCGCACCCCGGGAUGAGUCGUCGAUCGUCCUGGUAAUACGUAGUCAGCCAGACGCGACCAGCGGAUGAAAGCCUAAAACAGCUGUGCCUUGCUAAUAGCACUCCAGACUCCAGCUGUCAAAAAGAAGAAGAAAAAACACUUGAGACUCCAGAGCAUGCAUGUGAGUUACUUGACCAGAUCCAUACCCCGGCCCCCUGGCUAGUUACCGCCAGAGGGAGCUAGGUAGUACCUCUCCC
rnacentral:lncRNA from 1 species